GGCCCCGUAGCUCAGUUGGAUAGAGCGCGCCCCUCCUAAGGGCGAGGCCGCACGUUCGAAUCGUGUCGGGGCCGCCA
rnacentral:tRNA from 2 species